UAGGGAAUCUUCGGCAAUGGACGAAAGUCUGACCGAGCAACGCCGCGUGAGUGAAGAAGGUUUUCGGAUCGUAAAACUCUGUUGUUAGAGAAGAACAAGGACGUUAGUAACUGAACGUCCCCUGACGGUAUCUAACCAGAAACCCACGGCUAACUACGUGCCAGCAGCCGCGGUAAUACGUAGGUGGCAAGCGUUGUCCGGAUUUAUUGGGCGUAAAGCGAGCGCAGGCGGUUUCUUAAGUCUGAUGUGAAAGCCCCCGGCUCAACCGGGGAGGGUCAUUAGAAUCUGGGAGACUUGAGUGCAGAAGAGGAGAGUGGAAUUCCAUGUGGAGCGGUGAAAUGCGUAGAUAUAUGGAGGAACACCAGUGGCGAAGGCGGCUCUCUGGUCUGUAACUGACGCUGAGGCUCGAAAGCGUGGGGAGCAAACAGG
rnacentral:rRNA from 1 species